UGCCCAAUAACUGGAAGGCGUAACGAGAGAUGAGCGUCAAUACUUCCAGUGUGAGGCUUUGGCUCGGUUUUCAUGAUCAUGAAAGAAGCCCACCACAUCCAGGAAGAACUGACUCCACGCAGGAAGCUUCCUUAUUUGCCGACCAAGUGCAUUUCCAUGUCUGUUCAUAUUCAAACCACUCUUCAGAGUGUCCUCCACCUCGUCCCUCCUUUGCUCAGCUCUGCAACUGUGUCUCUGCACAGGGGUCUGAGAAUAAAACACAAACACUAAAGCUGAGGCGGGCUGUGGGGAACCUUGUCACCAGCUCGGAAGCCAAGGAGGAUGGUGCGCAGAGGCGGGUCCAGGGUGUCGGGCCCCCCAGGGCAGGUGGUGCCUCUACUGAGUUCUGAAAGUCAAAUCCGUAUUCUCUGAAAGAGAGACAUUCUAUUCAAGGUGCACAGCACAAAGAUGAAGAGUGGACCCAGCUCACAGAAACAGGAAUGGAGGAGGUUGUCAAUUUUACUCAUCCCGCGGUGAGAAACAAAACGAUUCUACUUUCUGCUGCCAACCAAAUCAUCCUAUUCUUCAGCAAGACUAAGAAUAAUCAUCUAAAUAACAAAAAAUCAACAGGAGUGAUGUACAUGUGACGAAUGGCGACAGUCUUCUCUAGAAGACGCAAUCAUGGAACCCAGAAGGAAGCACCGAGGUUUUCCAGAAAAGGAUUCUGAACUUCUCAUGGCACGGCUCUUCCUCCCUACUCGGAAGCAUGUGGGGUCCGGAGAUGAAGCGUGCCACCCUACAGUACACGUCCAACCCGAUGGCAUGCAUGUGCUCAAAGGCUUCUCAUUCCCUCUCACAGUGCACUUCUGUGCCAGUGGACACACUGGGCCCUCCCUCAGUUUCCAGUACGGCAGGCCAUGGAGACC